rnacentral:rRNA from 1 species
UGGGGAAUAUUGCACAAUGGGCGCAAGCCUGAUGCAGCCAUGCCGCGUGUAUGAAGAAGGCCUUCGGGUUGUAAAGUACUUUCAGUCGGGAGGAAGGUGUCAAGGUUAAUAACCUUGGCAAUUGACGUUACCGACAGAAGAAGCACCGGCUAACUCCGUGCCAGCAGCCGCGGUAAUACGGAGGGUGCAAGCGUUAAUCGGAAUUACUGGGCGUAAAGCGCACGCAGGCGGUUGAUUGAGUCAGAUGUGAAAUCCCCGGGCUAAACCCGGGAAUUGCAUCUGAUACUGGUCAGCUAGAGUCUUGUAGAGGGGGGUAGAAUUCCAUGUGUAGCGGUGAAAUGCGUAGAGAUGUGGAGGAAUACCGGUGGCGAAGGCGGCCCCCUGGACAAAGACUGACGCUCAGGUGCGAAAGCGUGGGGAGCAAACAGG